UACGGAGGGGCGAGCGUUAUUCGGAAUUAUUGGGCGUAAAGGGCGCGUAGGCGGCUUUACAAGUUCAAAGGUGAAAUCCCUCGGCUCAACUGAAGGAACCUGCCUUUGGAAACUGUAAGCUUGAGGCCGGGAGGGGGUAGCGGAAUUCCCGAGUGUAGCGGUGAAAUGCGUAGAUAUUGGGAGGAACACCAGUGGCGAAGGCGGCUACCUGGACCGGUUCUGGACGCUGAUGCGCGAAAGCGUGGGUAGCAAACGAGGA
rnacentral:rRNA from 1 species